GAUGAACGCUGGCGGCGUGCCUAAUACAUGCAGGUCGAGCGAACAGAUGAGGAGCUUGCUCCUCUGACGUUAGCGGCGGACGGGUGAGUAACACGUGGAUAACCUACCUAUAAGACUGGGAUAACUUCGGGAAACCGGAGCUAAUACCGGAUAAUAUAUUGAACCGCAUGGUUCAAUAGUGAAAGACGGUUUUGCUGUCACUUAUAGAUGGAUCCGCGCCGCAUUAGCUAGUUGGUAAGGUAACGGCUUACCAAGGCAACGAUGCGUAGCCGACCUGAGAGGGUGAUCGGCCACACUGGAACUGAGACACGGUCCAGACUCCUACGGGAGGCAGCAGUAGGGAAUCUUCCGCAAUGGGCGAAAGCUUGACGGAGCAACGCCGCGUGAGUGAUGAAGGUCUUCGGAUCGUAAAACUCUGUUAUUAGGGAAGAACAAAUGUGUAAGUAACUAUGCACGUCUUGACGGUACCUAAUCAGAAAGCCACGGCUAACUACGUG
rnacentral:rRNA from 1 species